GAUGAAGAACGUAGCGAAAUGCGAUAAUUAAUGUGAAUUGCAGAAUUUAGUGAAUCAUCGAGUCUUUGAACGCACAUUGCGCCUCAUGGUAUUCCGUGAGGCAUGCCUGUCUGAGCGUCAUUUGUACCCUCAAGCUUUGCUUGGUGUUGGGUGUUUGUCCCGCGUUGCGCGUGGACUCGCCUUAAAGCGAUUGGCAGCCGGCAUAUUGGCCUUGGAGCGCAGCACAUUUUGCGCUUCUAGUCAUGAAUGUUGGCGUCCAUUAAGCCUAUACAUUUGCUCUUGACCUCGGAUCAGGUAGGGAUACCCGCUGAACUUAAGCAUAUCAAUAAGCGGAGGA
rnacentral:misc_RNA from 1 species